AACAGGCUCCACAGUGUCCACAGUGAGUGUGAGGGUGAAGAAGCAGCCACACUCAUUGACACAGCUGGUGGUGGAAAGAGGCACGCACUUUUGGAAGGGAAUUCAGCAGGGCCUACCCAGGUUGUAAGUGUGUCUCCCUUGUGACCCAGACAUUCUGUUUCUGAGAAUACAUCUUUUACAAAACUUCUCACAUAUGUGCAGACAUAUAUUUAUAGAGAUGUUCUCUGGAGCACUGGUUAUUCUUACAAAACAUGGGGAAAAUCCAAAGGUCUAGCAAUGGGGUUUGGGUAAGUAAAUACAGUGGAAAACCCUGCAGCUCACUUAAAGAGAAGAUCUGCAAGAACUGAUGGGGAAGGACGCGUGAUGCCUCUGCAGGUGCAAGGCUGAGGCUCCUGGACCAUCUGCCAAGUGGUGAUGCUGCCCUGUCUGUGAACAUGUGGAGCUGGUAAAAUGGAUGAUGAUUCAGAGAACAUGGCACAGCAAGGCAUAGUUGCUUUUGUUAUAUAAGAUAAUUUCUAUAAAUUAUUUCAAGGAAUUAGACUAAAAUUAUGGGAUAUUCUCUAGUCUGUGUCUCUUCCAUAUGUCAUGAGAAUUUUACUUACCUCUCAAGUGCCCCAAGUGAAAAAAAAAUUGGACUUGGAUGUGUUGUCAACUGUCUUGGGAUUACAAAAGGGAGGAGCAUUGCCUUGGGGAGAGAGGCAGUGAGUGAUCUUGCUGGGGACAAGCUGAUUUGGGUUCACCUGCUUGUCCCCUUACCCUAUCCCUGUCUGCCUAAGCUGGAGUGGGAAUAGGGGCUGCAAGUUCCACUCUAACUUUGCAAGGUUUCAAAGAGAAAAGUCAUCAGCGGAAGGUUGAGAAGUUCAUGUGGGUGAAAUGCAAUUAUUCCUAGUGUCCCCUUCUGUGGAAACCCGCCUUCCUGAGAAGUGAUGGUCUCUUGGAGUUCUGAACCGCUUCCCUCACUAAGUUUUAAAAAAGAAAUUAUUUGGGACUUGGAAGACAGAAGGGAGUCUUCCCCACUCUGUGACCAAAAGCUCCCUUAGGAUAAUGUUUUUUGGGAACUGCCACCACCACUGGAACAAAAUACAACACCACUAACAACAAACAGGCCAGGCCAGUAGCUCGCGCCUGUAAUCUCAGCACUUUGGGAAGCUGAGGUGAGGCGAGUGGAUCACUUGAGCUCAGGAUUUCAAAACCAGCCUGGGCAACAUGGCAAAACCUAUCUCUACCAAAAAUUUAAAAAAUUCGUGGCUGGGCACAGUGGCUCAUGCCUGUAAUCCCAGCACUUCGGGAGGCCGAGGUAGGCAGAUCACAAGGUCAAGAGAUUGGUACCAUCAUGGCCAACAGGGUGAGACCCUGUCUCUACUAAAAUACAAGAAAUUAGCUGGUCGUGGUGGUGCAUGCCUAUAGUCCCAGCUACUCAGGAGGCUGAGGCAGGAGGACCGCUUGAACCCAGGAGGUGGAGGUUGCAGUGAGCCGAGAUCGUGCCAUUGUACUCCAGCCUGGGUGACAGAGCAAGUCUCCAUCUCAAAAAAAAAAAAAAAAAAAAA
ensembl:lncRNA